GUCGAACGAAGUCUUCGGACUUAGUGGCGCACGGGUGCGUAACGCGUGGGAAUCUGCCCUUGGGUACGGAAUAACUCAGAGAAAUUUGUGCUAAUACCGUAUAAUGUCUUCGGACCAAAGAUUUAUCGCCCAAGGAUGAGCCCGCGUAAGAUUAGCUAGUUGGUGAGGUAAGAGCUCACCAAGGCGACGAUCUUUAGCUGGUCUGAGAGGAUGAUCAGCCACACUGGGACUGAGACACGGCCCAGACUCCUACGGGAGGCAGCAGUGGGGAAUAUUGGACAAUGGGCGAAAGCCUGAUCCAGCAAUGCCGCGUGAGUGAUGAAGGCCUUAGGGUUGUAAAGCUCUUUUACCCGGGAUGAUAAUGACAGUACCGGGAGAAUAAGCUCCG
rnacentral:rRNA from 1 species